rnacentral:rRNA from 1 species
CCUACGGGUAUCCUCCUUCGGGCAUUUUGCGCAAUGGGCGAAAGCCUGACGCAGCAACGCCGCGUGAACGAGACGCCCUUUGGGGUGUAAAGUUCUGUCAGUGGGGACGAAAGAUGACGGUACCCACAGAGGAAGCACUGGCUAACUCCGUGCCAGCAGCCGUGGUAAUACGGAGGGUGCCAGCGUUGUCCGGAAUCAUUGGGCGUAAAGAGUUCGUAGGCGGUAUGUUAAGUCUGGUGUUAAAUGCAGAAGCUCAACUUCUGUUCGGCACUGGAUACUGGCAAACUAGAAUGCGGUAGAGGUAAAGGGAAGUCCUGGUGUAGCGGUGAAAUGCUUAGAUAUCAGGAGGAACAUCGGUGGCGUAAGCGCUUUACUGGGCCGUAAUUGACGCUGAGGAACGAAAGCCAGGGUAGCAAAUGGGAUUAGAUACCCUUGUAGUC